rnacentral:rRNA from 1 species
AGUUGGGGAAGGGCCGGCGUGCCUAAUACAUGCAAGUCGAGCGAACAGACGAGGAGCUUGCUCCUUUGACGUUAGCGGCGGACGGGUGAGUAACACGUGGGUAACCUACCUAUAAGACUGGGAUAACUUCGGGAAACCGGAGCUAAUACCGGAUAAUAUUUCGAACCGCAUGGUUCGAUAGUGAAAGAUGGCUUUGCUAUCACUUAUAGAUGGACCUGCGCCGUAUUAGCUAGUUGGUAAGGUAACGGCUUACCAAGGCAACGAUACGUAGCCGACCUGAGAGGGUGAUCGGCCACACUGGAACUGAGACACGGUCCAGACUCCUACGGGAGGCAGCAGUAGGGAAUCUUCCGCAAUGGGCGAAAGCCUGACGGAGCAACGCCGCGUGAGUGAUGAAGGUCUUCGGAUCGUAAAACUCUGUUAUUAGGGAAGAACAAACGUGUAAGUAACUGUGCACGUCUUGACGGUACCUAAUCAGAAAGCCACGGCUAACUACGUGCCAGCAGCCGCGGUAAUACGUAGGUGGCAAGCGUUAUCCGGAAUUAUUGGGCGUAAAGCGCGCGUAGGCGGUUUUUUAAGUCUGAUGUGAAAGCCCACGGCUCAACCGUGGAGGGUCAUUGGAAACUGGAAAACUUGAGUGCAGAAGAGGAAAGUGGAAUUCCAUGUGUAGCGGUGAAAUGCGCAGAGAUAUGGAGGAACACCAGUGGCGAAGGCGACUUUCUGGUCUGUAACUGACGCUGAUGUGCGAAAGCGUGGGGAUCAAACAGGAUUAGAUACCCUGGUAGUCCACGCCGUAAACGAUGAGUGCUAAGUGUUAGGGGGUUUCCGCCCCUUAGUGCUGCAGCUAACGCAUUAAGCACUCCGCCUGGGGGAGUACGACCGCAAGGUUGAUACUCAGAGAAUGAGUGUGUGACACGCGUAUUA